rnacentral:rRNA from 1 species
AUUGAACGCUGGCGGCAUGCCUUACACAUGCAGGUCGAACGGUAACAGGUCUUCGGAUGCUGACGAGUGGCGAACGGGUGAGUAAUACAUCGGAACGUGCCUAGUAGUGGGGGAUAACUACUCGAAAGAGUGGCUAAUACCGCAUGAGAUCUACGGAUGAAAGCAGGGGAUCGCAAGACCUUGUGCUACUAGAGCGGCCGAUGGCAGAUUAGGUAGUUGGUGGAAUAAGAGCUUACCAAGCCGACGAUCUGUAGCUGGUCUGAGAGGACGAUCAGCCACACUGGGACUGAGACACGGCCCAGACUCCUACGGGAGGCAGCAGUGGGGAAUUUUGGACAAUGGGCGCAAGCCUGAUCCAGCAAUGCCGCGUGCAGGAUGAAGGCCUUCGGGUUGUAAACUGCUUUUGUACGGAACGAAAAGCCCUGGGUUAAUACCCUGGGGUCAUGACGGUACCGUAAGAAUAAGCACCGGCUAACUACGUGCCAGCCGCCGCGGUAA